rnacentral:rRNA from 1 species
CGAAAGUCGAACGGAGUUUAAUUACGGAAGGUCUUCGGAUGGAAGUGAUUAAACUUAGUGGCGGACGGGUGAGUAACGCGUGAAUAACCUGCCUUAUACUGGGGGACAACAGUUGGAAACGACUGCUAAUACCGCAUAAGCGCACGAAAGCUGCAUGGCUCAGUGUGAAAAACUCCGGUGGUAUAAGAUGGAUUCGCGUCUGAUUAGCUAGUUGGUGAGGUAACGGCUCACCAAGGCGACGAUCAGUAGCCGGCCUGAGAGGGUNAACGGCCACAUUGGGACUGAGACACGGGCCCAAACUCCUACGGGAGGCAGCAGUGGGGAAUAUUGCACAAUGGGGGAAACCCUGAUGCAGCGACGCCGCGUGAGUGAAGAAGUAUUUCGGUAUGUAAAGCUCUAUCAGCAGGGAAGAAAAUGACGGUACCUGACUAAGAAGCCCCGGCUAACUACGUG